GAGGUACUGACGGAGGAUGGUAACAGCUGACAGCCUUGAAACACAUACAAAAGGACAAAGGUGUGAAGCGAAUAGCCUGGAGUCCUGGCAGAAGCUACCUGGAAUUGGGUCUGAAGGAGGAAAUUUGCCUAAACUGCAAUUUGAUCAUGUCGUGGAUUUAACUUCUUAGAUGAAAUCAUCUCCCAGUUCACCCUCCAGGAACCACUGAUGACAACUGAAAAAAGGUGAGCAUUAUCUUAUUUGGUCAUUUGUCCUCUUAAACAAUCCUAGAAAACUUUUCAGAACUAAGAUUUACAGCUCAUAGUUGGUCCUCAGGAGUUCAUCUAGUCAACCAUUAGCUAUGAUUUGGUUUUGCCUGCAUGCCUGAAAUGCCCAGUUUUCUCUCAAGCAUAGCUGUUUGUUAGUGUGCAUGUCUUGAACAGAUGUGAUGAAUUUUAUUGCUCUUUCUUUUCAUUCUUUCUACAAUUUGUAUCUUCAGGAAAAGACAGUGCUUAAAUAUGAAUGUAUGAUAACCAUUCUCACCAUAUGCUGCAUUGCUUUUUUAAACUACAGCUCACACAGCUCGCACUGGCUCUGUGAAAGUAUCCAUCUACUUAAGCUUUCCUUCUGCUUACAAUAGAACUCAUUUCCCCAGGAAUUCUGCUGGACCUCAUCUGCAGAGCUCAG
rnacentral:lncRNA from 1 species